UACAGAGGGGGCAAGCGUUGUUCGGAAUUACUGGGCGUAAAGGGCGCGUAGGCGGCCCGCUAAGUCGAACGUGAAAUCCCCAGGCUCAACCUGGGAACUGCGUCCGAUACUGGCAGGCUUGAAUCCGGGAGAGGGAUGUGGAAUUCCAGGUGUAGCGGUGAAAUGCGUAGAUAUCUGGAGGAACACCGGUGGCGAAGGCGGCAUCCUGGACCGGCAUUGACGCUGAGGUGCGAAAGCUAGGGUAGCAAACGGG
rnacentral:rRNA from 1 species